GAUGAACGCUAGCGGCAGGCUUAAUACAUGCAAGUCGAGGGGCAGCAUGACUGUAGCAAUACAGUUGAUGGCGACCGGCAAACGGGUGCGGAACACGUACGCAACCUUCCCAAAACUGGUGAAUAGCCUUUCGAAAGAGAGAUUAAUACACCGUAACUUAAUGAAGUGGCAUCACUUUAUUAGAAUAGCUCCGGCGGUUU
rnacentral:rRNA from 1 species